rnacentral:rRNA from 1 species
GACGGGACUAUUUUGGGAGAAGUUUUCGGAUGGAUCUCGGGAUAGUUUAGUGGCGGACGGGUGAGUAACACGUGAGCAACCUACCUUCGAGAGGGGAAUAACGGCUGGAAACGGUCGCUAAUACCGCAUAACAUACUGGAGGGACAUCUCUUUGGUAUCAAAGAUUAUAUCGCUCGGAGAUGGGCUCGCGUCCGAUUAGGUAGUUGGUGAGGUAACGGCUCACCAAGCCGACGAUCGGUAGCCGGACUGAGAGGUCGAACGGCCACAUUGGGACUGAGACACGGCCCAGACUCCUACGGGAGGCAGCAGUGGGGGAUAUUGCACAAUGGGGGAAACCCUGAUGCAGCGACGCCGCGUGUGGGAAGACGGUCCUCUGGAUUGUAAACCACUGUCCCCAGGGACGAAGAUGACGGUACCUGGGGAGGAAGCUCCGGCUAACUACGUGCCAGCAGCCGCGGUAAUACGUAGGGAGCGAGCGUUGUCCGGAAUUACUGGGUGUAAAGGGAGCGUAGGCGGGACUGCAAGUUGGGUGUCAAAUCUACCGGCUCAACCGGUAGCCGCACUCAAAACUGCAGUUCUUGAGUGAAGUAGAGGCAGGCGGAAUUCCUAGUGUAGCGGUGAAAUGCGUAGAUAUUAGGAGGAACACCAGUGGCGAAGGCGGCCUGCUGGGCUUUUACUGACGCUGAGGCUCGAAAGUGUGGGGAGCAAACAGGAUUAGAUACCCUGGUAGUCCACACCGUAAACGAUGAUCACUAGGUGUGGGGGGUCUGACCCCUUCCGUGCCGGAGUUAACACAAUAAGUGAUCC